rnacentral:sRNA from 1 species
UCCAGAUUGCCCAUCAUGCUGCUUGUGGU